rnacentral:rRNA from 1 species
UGGGGAAUAUUGCGCAAUGGGCGAAAGCCUGACGCAGCGACGCCGCGUGAGGGAUGAAGGUUCUCGGAUCGUAAACCUCUGUCAGGGGGGAAGAAACCUCCAUGUACGAACAGUGCAUGGGAUUGACGGUACCCCCAAAGGAAGCACCGGCUAACUCCGUGCCAGCAGCCGCGGUAAUACGGAGGGUGCAAGCGUUAAUCGGAAUCACUGGGCGUAAAGCGCACGUAGGCUGCCUGGUAAGUCAGGGGUGAAAUCCCACAGCUUAACUGUGGAACUGCCUUUGAUACUGCCAGGCUUGAGUGCCGGAGAGGGUGGCGGAAUUCCAGGUGUAGGAGUGAAAUCCGUAGAUAUCUGGAGGAACACCGGUGGCGAAGGCGGCCACCUGGACGGUAACUGACGC